UGAUCCAACAAUUCUUCUGUGAUGUCCCCUCCUUGCUGAACAUCUCCUGCUCUGAAAGGCACAUUGUCGUUGAUGUCAGUGUAGUCAUUGGUCACGAACCUCCAAAAGAUGCGAUCGAUGGCCUGCAGACCCACAGGAUGAGGAGAGCAGUAGGGGCAAUUGAGCACGAACCCAUCCCAGGCAGUUCAUGACACCUCCCAGACCAUGUCUAACAGCACGAU